UUAUACAUAGCCUCAACUCAUGUGAGACUACCCCCUGAAUUUAAGCAUAUUAAUAAGGGGAGGAAAAGAAACUAAAUAGGAUUCUCCUAGUAGCGGCGAGCGAAAAGGGAAAAGUCCAGCACGUAGAAUCGA
rnacentral:rRNA from 1 species